UAUCCAUGUAGGAAACGACCUCAAAGAUCAGUGAGCCCAGCUGUUAGCCCAGCACUGCCAAAUCCACCAGUAAACCACACUCCCGCCUAUUUCUAGCUGUAAUGUCCUUCUCUGUCAUCUGUGACUCGGUGUCUGCAACCUGCGAGUUUCUACUCAUGCCUGAAGUAUCAGCAAGAAUGUGAAUGAAGACAACACUUACACCUCCUGCCAGUUCAGAUCCUCCUCUGCUGAGGACCUGUUGUCCUCCUGAUUAUAAUGCUGAAUGAAUGGCUGGUGGCUUACAUCCAUGUUUCCCCAGAGCUCUAGUUGUUACCUUGUCAGAUCACAUCUUACAAGUAUUCUCUGGUUAAAUUCACUGGUAGGCUAUUAUCAAGUUAUCUGAAUGUUGGUACCUGGUUUACAGAAGUUUCCUUACAGCUUAUCAUGGUAAUUCUCUUCCAAUGGGGAUGAUAUAAUGUUUGGAAAUAUUAUAGAGAUUUCCUUUGUAGGCCAAAGGCUUCAAAAUGUUUGUCUACAGAUAUGAAUAA